rnacentral:rRNA from 1 species
AGGUCAAGUGACUACGGCGCACGGUGGAUGCCUUGGCACUUCGAGCCGAUGAAGGGCGCGGUAUGACUGCGAUAAGCCAGGAGGAGCCGUCAAGCAGGCUGAUCCCUGGAUUCCCGAAUGGGGCAACCCGAUGGCGGUUAUGCGCCAUCACCCCAGGUUGAACACAUAGACCUGGUGGGGGUAAGCGGGGGAAAUGAAACAUCUAAGUACCCCGAGGAACAGAAACAAUUCCGGUAGUAGCGGCGAGCGAACCCGGAGCAGCCCAAACCGGUUGAGCCUAAUGGAGCCCUCUCCUCUGCUCAGCCGGUGUUGUAGGGCGUUGCAUUCGCACCGAGGGUGGUGCGACAGCAGUUACAAACUGCGCGGGUAGGCGAAGGUCCCUGGAACGGGCCGCCACAGACGGUGAGAGCCCGGUAGCCGACACCCGACGCAGCUGCUGGCAGCGUCCCUGAGUACCACGCGACACGGUGAAAGCGCGUGGGAAGCUGGGGAGCCCACUUCCCAAGGCUAAAUACUCGAAGUGACCGAUAGCGGACCAGUACCGUGAGGGAAAGGUGAAAAGAACCCCGGGAGGGGAGUGAAACAGUUCCUGAAACCGUGUGCUUUCAAGCAGUGAGAGGCCCGUAACCGGGCUGAUCGCGUGCCUAUUGAAGAAUGAACCGGUGAGUUACGUUUUGUGGCGAGGUUAAGGCAUUUUGUGCCGCAGCCGCAGCGAAAGCGAGUCUGAACAGGGCGAAGCGAGUCGCAAGACGUAGACCCGAAACCAGGUGAGCUACCCAUGGGCAGGGUGAAGCUGGGGUAACAGCCAGUGGAGGCCCGAACCUUCUUCAGUUGCAAAUGGAUUGGAUGACCUGUGGGUAGAGGUGAAAUGCCAAGCGAACCUGGCGAUAGCUGGUUCUCCCCGAAAUGCCUUUAGGGGCAGCGUUGUGGGAAGCGACCGUGGAGGUAGGGCUCUGACUGGGUACGGGGGCGGACAGCCUACCAACCCCUAUCAAACCGCGAAUGCCACGGCCGAACCUGCGGCAGUGAGACUGUGGGGGAUAAGCUUCAUGGUCAAAAGGGAAACAGCCCAGACCGCCGGCUAAGGUCCCGAAAUUUCCGCUCAGUGGGAAAGGAAGUCCAGUCGCGCAGACAACCAGGAGGUUGGCUUAGAAGCAGCCAUCCUUGAAAGAGUGCGUAAUAGCUCACUGGUCGAGUGAUUGGGCGCCGACAAUUCAACGGGGCUCAAGCGGAAUACCGAAGCCGCGGAUCUGGCUCUCAGUUCGCUGGGAGUCAGGUGGUAGGGGAGCGUUCCGUUCAGCAGUGAAGGCGGACCCGCGAGGGCCGCUGGAGCGGACGGAAGUGAGAAUGCCGGUAUGAGUAGCGAAAGGCGUGUGAGAACCACGCCCACCGAAUACCUCAGGGUUCCUACGGCAGGGCAAUCCGCGUAGGGUUAGGCGGGCCUAAGCCGAGGCCGAAAGGCGUAGGCGAUGGACAGACGGUUCAUAUUCCGUCCCCGCUGAGUGUGUGCCUGAGCGACAGGGGUGACCCGGGAAGAUAGCGUGAGCGGGCCUAUUGGACAUGGUCCGUCGCGCCGCGUACGCGUCGAGCGGGGUUCAAAGACCGCUCGGUUAAGCAGAGGCGGCGCGGAAGCGGCGACGUCAGUCAAAGCGACUCGUGUGACACCCUCGGCCAGAAAACCCUCGGUCGCGAAUACAUUCAGCGCCCGUACCGCACACCGACACAGGUAGGUGAGGGUAAGUACCUCCAGGUGGACGAGUGAUUCCUCGCUAAGGAACUCGGCAAAAUAGUUCCGUAACUUCGGGAGAAGGAACGCCUCGCGGCUGGUCCCCGACUCGCUCGGGCGAACGGCCGGAGGUCGCAGUGAGCAGGCCCAGGCGACUGUUUAACAAAAACACAGGUCUCUGCGAACGCGAAAGCGGACGUAUAGGGGCUGACGCCUGCCCAGUGCUGGAAGGUUAAGGGGAGGGCUUCACGGCUCGAACCGAAGCCCCAGUGAACGGCGGCCGUAACUAUAACGGUCCUAAGGUAGCGAAAUUCCUUGUCGGGUAAGUUCCGACCCGCACGAAUGGCGUAACGAUCUGGGCACUGUCUCGGCGAGGAGCUCGGCGAAAUUGAAGUGGCCGUGAAGAUGCGGCCUCCCCGCAGAUGGACAAAAAGACCCCGUGGAGCUUUACUACAGCUUGACAUUGAAGGUCGCCUUAUGAUGCGUAGGAUAGGUGGGAGCCAGUGAACCCAUGCUUGCGGGCGUGGGGGAGGCAACCUUGGAAUACCACCCUUCAUAUGGUGUCCUUCUAACGCGUGAGCAAGCACGCGGACCGUGUCUGGUGGGUAGUUUGACUGGGGCGGUCGCCUCCCAAAUUGUAACGGAGGCGCGCAACGGUUCCCUUAGGGUGGAUGGAAAUCACCUGUCACGUGUAUUGGCAUAAGGGAGCUUGACUGCGAGACUGACACGUCGAGCAGGGACGAAAGUCGGCCAAAGUGAUCCUACGGUUCCGAGUGGUAGGGCCGUGGCUUAUCGGAUAUAAGUUACCCCGGGGAUAACAGGCUUAUCUUGCCCGAGAGUUCACAUCGCCGGCAAGGUUUGGCACCUCGAUGUCGGCUCGUCGCAUCCUGGGGCUGGAGUCGGUCCCAAGGGUUGGGCUGUUCGCCCAUUAAAGCGGCACGCGAGCUGGGUUCAGAACGUCGUGAGACAGUUCGGUCUCUAUCCUCUGUGGGCGUUGGAGCGUUGCGGGGAACUGCCCCUAGUACGAGAGGACCGGGGUGGACGGACCGCUGGUGUGCCAGUUGGAGGGCCGACCUCCACCGCUGGGUAGCCAUGUCCGGACAGGAGAAGCGCUGAAAGCAUCUAAGCGCGAAACCAACCUCAAGAUGAGCGCUCCCUCCGCCAUUGAGCGGAUAAGGCCACGGGAAGACGACCCGUUUGAUAGGCGACAGGUGGAAGCCCGGUAACGGGUGCAGCUGAGUCGUACUAAUGGCCGAAUGGCUUGACCUG